rnacentral:rRNA from 1 species
UACGUAGGGGGCAAGCGUUGUCCGGAAUUAUUGGGCGUAAAGAGCGUGUAGGCGGCCAGAUAAGUCCGCUGUGAAAUCUCGAGGCUCAACUUCGAGCUGUCGGUGGAAACUAUCUGGCUAGAGUCCGGAAGAGGAGAAUGGAAUUCCUGGUGUAGCGGUGAAAUGCGCAGAUAUCGGGAAGAACACCCGUGGCGAAGGCGGCUCUCUGGAACGCAACUGACGCUGAGACGCGAAAGGCUAGGGAGGCG